GAUGAGAUUUCCCAUUCCUUAUGGAAGUAAGACCCCUCAGAGAUGAUGAGGUGGAUAGGAUGGAAGUGGAAGUGCCGCGAGGCAUGGAGCGGACCAUUACUAAUCGGUCGAGGGCUUAACCAA
rnacentral:rRNA from 1 species